rnacentral:rRNA from 1 species
GACGAACGCUGGCGGCGUGCUUAACACAUGCAAGUCGAACGGAAAGGCCCUGCUUUUGUGGGGUGCUCGAGUGGCGAACGGGUGAGUAACACGUGAGUAACCUGCCCUUGACUUUGGGAUAACUUCAGGAAACUGGGGCUAAUACCGGAUAGGAGCCCCUGCUGCAUGGUGGGGGUUGGAAAGUUUCGGCGGUUGGGGAUGGACUCGCGGCUUAUCAGCUUGUUGGUGGGGUAGUGGCUUACCAAGGCUUUGACGGGUAGCCGGCCUGAGAGGGUGACCGGCCACAUUGGGACUGCGGUACGGCCCAGACUCCUACGGGAGGCAGCAGGGGGGAAUAUUGCACAAUGGGCGGAAGCCUGAUGCAGCAACGCCGCGUGCGGGAUGACGGCCUUCGGGUUGUAAACCGCUUUCGCCUGUGACGAAGCGUGAGUGACGGUAAUGGGUAAAGAAGCACCGGCUAACUACGUG